CCCGCACAAGCGGUGGAGCAUGUGGUUUAAUUCGAUGAUACGCGAAGGAACCUUACCUGGGCUCAAAUGUAUGUUGACGUAUUCUGAAAGGGAUACUUCUUCGGACAAUAUACAAGGUGCUGCAUGGUUGUCGUCAGCUCGUGCCGUGAGGUGUCGGGUUAAGUCCCAUAACGAGCGCAACCCCUAUCAUUAGUUGCCAUCAGGUCAAGCUGGGGACUCUAAUGAAACUGCCUACGCAAGUAGUGAGGAAGGUGGGGAUGACGUCAAAUCAGCACGGCCCUUACGUCCAGGGCUACACACGUGCUACAAUGGUCGGUACAAAGGGUUGCCAAGCCGCGAGGUGGAGCUAAUCCCAUAAAACCGAUCGUAGUCCGGAUCGCAGUCUGCAACUCGACUGCGUGAAGUCGGAAUCGCUAGUAAUCGUGAAUCAGAAUGUCACGGUGAAUACGUUCCCGGGCCUU
rnacentral:rRNA from 1 species